CUCUGGUAUCAACCAAGAAGGCUACUGUGUAAUCACAAACGUCAUACAGUCAGUCUAAAAAGCUUAAAAUGAUGCUGACACAGUAUUUAAUAGCUGUGAUGUUCAUAAUUAGGAACUGUGGAAAAAGUACGCCUUCAUUCAGGGGCCAUCUUUAUUUACAGUUGGAAGCACCCUGGACAGGGACACAGUGCAGCGUAUUGAGAGAAAGCUACUUGAACACGCUACAUAGGAAUGACAUUAAAAGGUCCAGAAUAUUCCGUGAAAGGACAGCAAUGCACUGUGAUUACUGCAGCUCAG